AGGGCACCACCAGGAGUGGAGCCUGCGGCUUAAUUUGACUCAACACGGGGAAACUCACCAGGUCCAGACACAAUAAGGAUUGACAGAUUGAGAGCUCUUUCUUGAUUUUGUGGGUGGUGGUGCAUGGCCGUUCUUAGUUGGUGGAGUGAUUUGUCUGCUUAAUUGCGAUAACGAACGAGACCUUAACUCUUAAAUAGGGAGGCUAGCAUUUGCUGGUGCUCUCUUCUUAGGAGGACUAUCUAUUUCAAGUAGAUGGAAGUUUGAGGCA
rnacentral:rRNA from 1 species